GACGAACGCUGGCGGCGUGCUUAACACAUGCAAGUCGAACGGAAAGGCCCUGCUUUUGUGGGGUGCUCGAGUGGCGAACGGGUGAGUAACACGUGAGUAACCUGCCCUUGACUUUGGGAUAACUUCAGGAAACUGGGGCUAAUACCGGAUAGGAGCUCCUGCUGCAUGGUGGGGGUUGGAAAGUUUCGGCGGUUGGGGCUGGUAUCGCGGCUUAUCAGCUUGUUGGUGGGGUAGUGGCUUACCAAGGCUUUGACGGGUAGCCGGCCUGAGAGGUUGAACGGCCACAUUGGGCCUGAGAUACGGACCAGACGCCUACGGGAGGCAGCAGGGGGGAAUAUUGCACAAUGGGCGGAAGCCUGAUGCAGCAACGCCGCGUGCGGGAUGACGGCCUUCGGGUUGUAAACCGCUUUCGCCUGUGACGAAGCGUGAUUGACGGUAAUGGGUAAAGAAGCACCGGCUAACUACGUG
rnacentral:rRNA from 1 species